GAAAUGAUGGUUAAUAAUUGAACACAAGACAACAUAAUUUUUGAAAGGAUCUGUUAUUGGGGACCUUAAUGGGCCAAUGCCCUUGAAUUUGAAGGGAUCAGCAUUAAUAGGCCAGUUUCACAUUCACACCCAGAAAAGUAGAAAUCUGAUAUACACCGUAGCCCCUCCCUCAAUCGCAGGUCACAGCUAAGGAACAGCCUUGCCAUUGGGCUCAUGGUAUGCACCAGACUUAACCAUUUAGGCAUGCCAUUGAUGCUUUUGGGAGUACUCAAAUUCAGUACUUUACAGCUUUAAGAAAACGAUCAUCCAGAACCAAAACCAAACAGUCCGGUCUCAGUUCUCA
rnacentral:misc_RNA from 1 species